AGUGAACGCUGGCGGUAGGCCUAACACAUGCAAGUCGAACGGCAGCACAGUAAGAGCUUGCUCUUACGGGUGGCGAGUGGCGGAUGGGUGAGGAAUACAUCGGAAUCUACUUUUUCGUGGGGGCUAACGUAGGGAAACUUACGCUAAUACCGCAUACGACCUACGGGUGAAAGCAGGGGAUCUUCGGACCUUGCGCGAUUGAAUGCGCCGAUGUCGGAUUAGCUAGUUGGCGGGGUAAAGGCCCACCAAGGCGACGAUCCGUAGCUGGUCUGAGAGGAUGAUCAGGCACACUGGAACUGAGACACGGUCCAGACUCCUACGGGAGGCAGCAGUGGGGAAUAUUGGACAAAGGGCGCAAGCCUGAUCCAGCCAUGCCGCGUGGGUGAAGAAGGCCUUCGGGUUGUAAAGCCCUUUUGUUGGGAAAGAAAAGCAGCAGGUUAAUACCCCGCUGUUCUGACGGUACCCAAAGAAUAAGCACCGGCUAACUUCGUG
rnacentral:rRNA from 1 species